GCGCCCAUAGCUCAGCUGGAUAGAGUACUUGGCUACGAACCAAGGGGUCGGGAGUUCGAAUCUCUCUGGGCGCGCCA
rnacentral:tRNA from 1 species